UUUCACAAAUCGAUUACAAAGCGUUAGCUAAUGCCUCGGGCUGCCAUAGACCCACAUUUCACACAGCCCCCCAAAAAAAAGCUAAAAAAAAAUAAACUAUAGUUAGAUCAAAAAAAAUGUGUGGUAUCCAAACACUGGCUGACUUGUGUACUGCCCAUGCCCGUGCUCGUGAUCCGCGGCUGCUAAACGUUCAUUUCCUCAAUUAGAUUUCAUUCUCAUUGAAUAAAGCACAAUCCGAGCCGAGUGGGUGGUUGUGGCUCAGGCCGGGAGUCUGCUGCGCUACUGUAUCGGCAAAGUGCUCCAAUUGGGCUCGUUUGCGAUAACAAAGAUGCGUGAACGACUCGACCUUGUCGACGUGUCCAAACUGGUCAAAAUACAAUAUAAUAUUCAACUAAAUGCGUUAACAUUCCUGGACGGAGGGGUUACCCCUCGAUUGUUCAAUUAAAUUGCUGUAUACGUAGCUAUAAACAAACGGGCCACGGACCGACGUAGAAGGAUUUUCAAAAUUGUCAAAUAAAAUUCAAACUUUUUUUUUGUUAUUUUUCUGUUUUUAUGAAUUCGGUUUGUUGCCAAUACAAAAAUUAAAUUUGUAUGCAAGCAUUGGCUUCGACACAAAGUUAACGAAAACAAACCAAAUGAUAAAAUAAAACAUGUACACACACACACACACACACACACACAAGAUAACAACAACAACAAAAACCAAAUCGAAGAAGAGCAAAAAUAUAAUAAACAAAUGUCGUUGAGCCGUGCAUUAAAAAUGCCACGAAUUGACGAAAUGAUGAA